UACGUAGGGUGCGAGCGUUGUCCGGAGUUACUGGGCGUAAAGGGUGUGUAGGCGGUUGUUUAAGUUUGGUGUGAAAUCUCCCGGCUCAACUGGGAGGGUGCGCCGAAUACUGAAUGACUAGAGUGCGGGAGAGGAAAGUGGAAUUCCUGGUGUAGCGGUGAAAUGCGUAGAUAUCAGGAGGAACACCGGUGGUGUAGACGGCUUUCUGGACCGUAACUGACGCUGAGACACGAAAGCGUGGGUAGCAAACAGG
rnacentral:rRNA from 1 species